rnacentral:lncRNA from 1 species
GACAGAACACUCAGUAAUUGGAGGUAGGACCUAAUGGGAAAUGGUUGGGUCAUGGGGGCUCUGCUCUCAUGAGUGGAUUAAUGCUGUUAUUAUGGGAGUGGGUUCCUCAUAAAAAAAUGAGUUCAGCCACCUAUUGGCCUCCAGCCCUCUCUCUCUUUCUGCCCUUCCACCCUCCACCAUGGGGUGGACAGCAAGAAGCUCCUCACCAGAUGCCAACACCUUGAUUUUGGGACUCCCCAGCCUCCAGAACUCCAUGAGAUAAAUUUCUCUUCAUUAUAAUUUACCCCAUGUAUUGGUAUUUUUAUUAUAGCAGCAAAAAGUAGACUAAGACACCUUUCCACCUUCUCAUUUCUUCUCAUAUUCAUUGGCCAGAAUUAAAUCUGUGGAGAAUUUGACCUGGAUCAAUCAAGACCCAUCACCCCAGGGCUGGAGAAGGGCUCAGACUCCCCUAAAGCUCUGAGCCCUAGAGCCCCUGAACAGAUUCCGUUAAUAAACAAGAAGCAGGGGGACCAGUGGACCCAGCUAGAAGCGGUUUAUGUGGCUACUUACUGUAUUUUCUUUUUUUAAAUUUCCUUUUUUGUUUUACUUUUGAAAUGCAUGAUGGUUAUACUACAGUCCUAGGAUUCAGGAAAACUUCUAAUUCCACAUCUAACCUUUGCUAAGGGUUAGAUGCCAAACUACCUUUUGUUUGAGUUUUUCCAUCCAUUAAAUGAACUUGGGAUGAGAGUGGGAAUGUGGGUGGUCAGAGUGACCAGAUGAACUUUAAGAUACCUUGCAUCUCUAAAAUUUUAAUUAUUUGAAAGUUAAUGAUCCAUGUGAAAAACUUAACUUAGCUGUGGCAACCACAUAACACCACCACCACCACCCCACCCUACCCUCUGUUUGAAAUGCUUGUUCUUCAGUGCCGCAAAGAAAUAGCACUUGAACAUUAAUUUCUUCAGCAAGGUCAUUUUUAUACUUUCUGCAGAAAGGGUACACUCGCCAGCAGUUUUGCCACGAGAGAACACCGAACAAAGGAGACAGGGUCAUUUAUAACUUGACAAGUCCACUUUACUGCUGUGUCCAGUUUCCAUUGGCUGGAACGGGACCUCACAUUCUGUAUUUGUCCUGAUUGGCUAGCAACUUAGAACUUUUUAAAAGAGGCAAAGGCAGAGGAGAAUGAAGGAGGAAGUAACUUGUGGAAUGCUGAGAAACGUAAAAACACCUUCAGAUAAGGAAGAGGAACAGGCUAUGACCUAAUGCUUGCUUGGACCAGUAUAAGCAUUGCCAGGGCAAAUAGGCUAAAUUGUGGGAGCUAAGAACAUAAAGUACAUUGAUUUCUUUAUUACGGCUAGCAGAUAUUUAAGAAUGUUAGCACAGGUCUUUGAAUAAGUUUUGCUCCUAAGAGAAGUUACUAUUUAUUCUUAAUUAGACAGGGAGGAAAGUCUUUGAAGAGGAACCUCACUUUACUUUUUACACCCCUAAGAACCAUGAUGAUAGACUGCAAAAAAGCAUCCCAUCAACCAUCACUUUUUCCAGGAAAUGGCUGGCCACAGAAAACUCUCCGCCCCUUUCCUCUUUUGAAAUGGUCCCAGACUGCUCACCUGCCUCCUUGAAGCUAAUCAAGUCAAAUGUACUUGAAGACCACUUUGUCUCUUGGCUUGCUUCCACAAAUCCUACCCUUAUAUGACAUUUGCCAAGUCAACACUGUCAGUAUUUCUCCUUUUUACUCUAUAACGUCUUAACACCUCUGAACACUUACCAAAACAAAGGUUUCAGCAGAAGGGUUCCCCUGCUGCACGUUUAUGAAUAAAUAGCCUUUGUCGAUUUUAUCUUGGACUUAGUUUUGUCUCUGACACAUGUGGAAUGGAUGUCUGUUAGAAUUCUGCCCUUGCCACACCUCUUGCUUCCUGGAUAAAUGUGGGUUCACUUGGGUUGAUGACCUUGGGCUACACUGGCUUCUUCAGAACCCCUGAGAAGCGUGUAGGGAUUCUCAUUCAGACCUCUAGAAUUGAGUGAAUCAGUGAAGGGCAGCUGACACCAAAAAUGCAUUAAAAUGUCAAGGCCGGCAGCCCUCUAGCUUCUGGCUGGAGUGUGUGAUGAUUUCGUCUGAAUUCCCUGAGUUCAAGGCAUGCAGUGGGCACAUCGACUAUGGGCCCAUCAGAGGCUGAGUUUGCAGCAGCAGCUGUCCUGUACAGCAUGCAGCAAAACGGCUGUCAGCUCUUAUUAGGAAGGUAGAAACAUGCCAGUGGGUAUGUAUGCAGGACUAGUGUAUCCUUGGAUGUGCCUGUUACUGACCACUGUGGUUCUGUUUAACAUUAAUUUGUAUAUUUCUCAAAGCAUCACAUGCCCAAGAUUUAGGCAAGUAAAUUCAGUUAACCACAGAGUAUACUUUUAUGCCUUUCCUGUGAUAACACCAUUCUAGAUGCUAAGAGUGAAUGUAGGAUAGGACAGAAAAGUGCUGCUGGCAAGGACCUUACAUUCAUGCCAGUGAAGGAGACCCAAAACAGAUGGGCAAAUAAUGCCAGCCGUCUGGAAGCAAUGGAGUGAAGUGGCCAAGUGAAGUCCUGGAGGAAAAUUGUUCUAGGCUAAGUCCCUGAAGGGUGGUGAGUUUGGGGUGCUGGGGAAACAGCAGUAUGACCUUUAGAGACAGAGCAAAGGUGUGAGGGACAGAGUUAGGCAGGGGCCAGGUGAGGCAGGCUAUUACAAUGUAAGUCUAGUGAGCAGUGGAUUCCAGCAGGAGAAUUAUGUCUAUUUGUUUUGGGGAGAGUGUUUUGAGACAAGGUCUGAUCUGUCACCCAGGUUGGAGUGCAGUGGUGUAAUCACAGCUCACGGCAACCUCAACCUCCCAGGCUCAAGCGAUCCUCCCACCUUAGCCUCCCGAGUAGCACAUGCCACUGUGUCGAGCCGUUUGUUUUUUUAAAAUCCUCUGGAAACUGGGAAAUUGACUGAAAGGUAGUAUUCCUCCAAGCCCUUGAAUCUAGGCUGGCCUUGUGACUACUUUGAUCAUUACAAGGCAGUGGGAAAGGAUGUUCUGGGACUUCAAGCCCAGGCCUCAAUAGGACUGCCAGCUUCUACUUCCUUCUCAGAACACUAGCUCUGAGCCCAAGCUACAUGGAGAGGCCAUCGUCCUAGCUGAGAACCUAGCCAGCUGCCACCAUGUGAAUGAACCACGGUGAACACUCAGCCCAUUCAAGCCCACAAAUGCCCACAGCUCCAGCCACAUCACAUGAAUAGAGGAACCACCCCACUCAGCCCAGGAAAACCAGAGUUGUGAGACUGAAUCACUUGGUUUUGAAGUUUAUUUCACAGCAAUAGAUAAGUGAAACAA